rnacentral:rRNA from 1 species
GACGAACGCUGGCGGCGUGCUUAACACAUGCAAGUCGAACGGAAAGGCCUGCUUUCCCUUGUGGAUUGCGGGUACUCGAGUGGCGAACGGGUGAGUAACACGUGAGUGAUCUGCCCCCAACUUGGGUAUAAGCCUGGGAAACUGGGUCUAAUUCCCGAUAGGACUGCAGGGUGGUGCCUGUGGUGGAAAACGAUUUUCUAGUGGUUGGGGAUGAGCUCGCGGCCUAUCAGCUUGUUGGUGGGGUAAUGGCCUACCAAGGCGGCGACGGGUAGCCGGCCUGGGAGGGGGGACGGCGACAUUGGGACUGGGAUACGGCCCAGACGCCUACGGGAGGCAGCAGUGGGGAAUAUUGCACAAUGGGCGGAAGCCUGAUGCAGCGACGCCGCGUGGGGGAUGACGGCCUUCGGGUUGUAAACUCCUUUCGACCGCGAGGAAGCCACCUGGUUGGAAGGGUGGUGACGGUAGUGGUAGAAGAAGCACCGGCUAACUACGUG